CAGGGAAUCUUGCGCAAUGGGCGAAAGCCUGACGCAGCAACGCCGCGUGGGGGAUGAAGGCCUUCGGGUUGUAAACCCCUUUCAGGAGGGAAGAAAUUGACGGUACCUCCAAAAGAAGUCCCGGCUAACUACGUGCCAGCAGCCGCGGUAAUACGUAGGGGGCGAGCGUUGUCCGGAAUCAUUGGGCGUAAAGAGCUCGUAGGCGGUUCAGUAAGUCGGCUGUGAAAUUCCGAGGCUCAACCUCGGAACUGCAGUCGAAACUAUCGUGACUCGAGUCCGGUAGAGGAGAAUGGAAUUCCCGGUGUAGCGGUGAAAUGCGCAGAUAUCGGGAGGAACACCAGUAGCGAAGGCGGUUCUCUGGGCCGGUACUGACGCUGAGGAGCGAAAGCGUGGGGAGCGAAACAGGAUUAGAUACCCUGGUAGUCCACGCUGUAAACGUUGGACACUAGGUGUGGCGGUCUGAUCAACGACUGCCGUGCCGAAGCUAACGCAUUAAGUGU
rnacentral:rRNA from 1 species